rnacentral:misc_RNA from 1 species
CGCACCUUGCGCUCCUUGGUAUUCCGAGGAGCAUGCCUGUUUGAGUGUCAUUAAAUUCUCAACCUUACCAGCUUUUGUUAGCUUGUGUAAUGGCUUGGACUUGGGGGUUUAUUUUGCCGGCUUCUUACCAAGUCAGCUCCCCUUAAAUGCAUUAGCCGGCUGCCCGCUGUGGACCGUCUAUUGGUGUGAUAAUUAUCUACGCCGUGGAUGUCUACUAUUAAUGGGUUGAAGCUGCUUCAAACCGUCUGUUUACUCAGACAAUUAAUGACAAUUUGACCUCAAAUCAGGUAGGACUACCCGCUGAACUUAA